AAUUUUGAUCUUCAUAGUCGAAAAGGAGGAAACUAAUGAUUGACAAAUAUAAAAAUAAGGCCCAGAUUUUGAUCUCAAUUAAAGAAAAACUAGUUAAGGGACCCGCGCGAUACUGCGGGUAGUUAUUUUAAAAUUCAAUCUUUAAAAUUAGUUAUAAAAAUCAAUUUCAGAAUAAUUAUGGAAUGUUACGAAUAAAUUACAGAACAAUUUUAAAUAAAUACAGCUAUCUUCCCUAACAUAGGAAAUAUAAGGAGCUCUCUCAAUAAUAAGCUAUUUUGAAAUAGUUCUUUAACUUUAUUAAAUAUUUUCUCUAUCUUGUUCUCUUUUGUUUGCUUUGAUAUUACUAAUUUUGCAAAGUUAUCUAUGAUAUUUCUAAUCUUUUGAGGGAUACAAAUGAAAUUACCUCAUGCUAAUUAUUUCAAACAUGGCCAUGUGUCUAAGGGAUAAAUGGUGCAAUAAGCACAUCGAAAAUUUUUAGUAGGCAUGGUAGUCCCCCAUUAGUUAGUGAAAUGAGAAGAGAAAUCUUUACUUUCAUCUGGUGCGUACUAAUAUUUUAGUUAGCAUAUUUUAUGUGAUUCUCGCAACUAACUUUCAUAAAAUAUAAAAUUAUGUACAAUUUAUAUCUGAAUUCUCAAUAUUAUGAAAUUAACAUUUAUAUUUAAUACCAACCGUCUAAACUAUUUAAUAAUUAUUUAUAUAUUUUAGAUUUUAUAAUAAAAAAGAAUAAAGUAGAUUGAAAUUUUAAAAAAUUAUAAUUUUUUUCUAUAUACGAAAAGAAAAAUAAAUU
rnacentral:lncRNA from 1 species